AUCUUUCUAGUAUAAAAGUACCUCUGGCUUCCAACCAGAAAGUCUAGUGUCACUAGGGAAGUUA
rnacentral:tRNA from 1 species